UACGUAGGGUGGCAAGCGUUAAUCGGAAUUACUGGGCGUAAAGCGUGCGCAGGCGGUUAUGUAAGACAGGUGUGAAAUCCCCGGGCCUUAACCUGGGAACUGCAUUUGUGACUGCAUAGCUAGAGUACGGUAGAGGGGGAUGGAAUUCCGCGUGUAGCAGUGAAAUGCGUAGAUAUGCGGAGGAACACCGAUGGCGAAGGCAAUCCCCUGGACCUGUACUGACGCUCAUGCACGAAAGCGUGGGGAGCAAACAGG
rnacentral:rRNA from 1 species